rnacentral:rRNA from 1 species
GUGGGGAAUUUUGGACAAUGGGCGAAAGCCUGAUCCAGCCAUGCCGCGUGCAGGAUGAAGGCCUUCGGGUUGUAAACUGCUUUUGUACGGAACGAAAAGACUCUGGUUAAUACCUGGGGUCCAUGACGGUACCGUAAGAAUAAGCACCGGCUAACUACGUGCCAGCAGCCGCGGUAAUACGUAGGGUGCAAGCGUUAAUCGGAAUUACUGGGCGUAAAGCGUGCGCAGGCGGUUAUAUAAGACAGAUGUGAAAUCCCCGGGCUCAACCUGGGAACUGCAUUUGUGACUGUAUAGCUAGAGUACGGCAGAGGGGGAUGGAAUUCCGCGUGUAGCAGUGAAAUGCGUAGAUAUGCGGAGGAACACCGAUGGCGAAGGCAAUCCCCUGGGCCUGUACUGACGCUCAUGCACGAAAGCGUGGGGAGCAAACAAGAUUAGAAACCCCAGUAGUCC